GACCCAGUAGCGGAUGGUUCGCCCCCGCACCGUAUGUCAGGAGUCUGCUAUUGAAUAAGCCAGCGGGAGGCCCUGGUUCGACUCCAGGCUGGGUCA